UACGUAGGGUGCGAGCGUUGCCCGGAUUUACUGGGCGUAAAGCGUGCGUAGACGGUUAUUUAAGUCAGGCGUGAAAGCCCAGGGCUCAACCUUGGAAUUGCAUUUGAGACUGAAUAGCUAGGGUGCGGAAGAGGGAAGCGGAAUUUCCGGUGUAGCGGUGAAAUGCGUAGAUAUCGGAAGGAACACCAGUGGCGAAAGCGGCUUCCUGGUCCAGCACCGACGUUCAGGCACGAAAGCGUGGGGAGCAAACAGG
rnacentral:rRNA from 1 species